rnacentral:rRNA from 1 species
UAUGGUAUUGCCAGCAGCCGCGGUAAAACGUAGGGUGCAAGCGUUGUCCGGAAUUACUGGGUGUAAAGGGAGCGUAGGCGGGAUGCCAAGUCAGCUGUGAAAACUAUGGGCUUAACCUGUAGACUGCAGUUGAAACUGGUAUUCUUGAGUGAAGUAGAGGUUGGCGGAAUUCCGAGUGUAGCGGUGAAAUGCGUAGAUAUUCGGAGGAACACCGGUGGCGAAGGCGGCCAACUGGGCUUUAACUGACGCUGAGGCUCGAAAGUGUGGGGAGCAAACAGG